GAUGAACGCUAGCGGCAGGCCUAACACAUGCAAGUCGAGGGGUAUCCCGCUUUCGGGCGGGAGAGACCGGCGCACGGGUGCGUAACGCGUAUGCAACCUACCCUGUACUGGGGGGUAGCCCGGAGAAAUUCGGAUUAACACCCCAUAGUACUAAUGAAUGGCAUCAUUUAUUAGUUAAAGGUUACGGUACAGGAUGGGCAUGCGUCCUAUUAGCUAGAUGGUAAGGUAACGGCUUACCAUGGCUACGAUAGGUAGGGGGCCUGAGAGGGUGGUCCCCCACACUGGUACUGAGAAACGGACCAGACUCCUACGGGAGGCAGCAGUGAGGAAUAUUGGUCAAUGGGCGCAAGCCUGAACCAGCCAUGCCGCGUGCAGGAAGACGGUCCUAUGGAUUGUAAACUGCUUUUAUUUGGGAAUAAACCUCUUUACGUGUAGAGAGCUGAAGGUACCAAAUGAAUAAGCACCGGCUAACUCCGUGCCAGCAGCCGCCGUAA
rnacentral:rRNA from 1 species